rnacentral:lncRNA from 1 species
GUCAGCACCCCACUCUCCCCAGUAGGCAGCCAACAAACCCCGGAAACUCUUAAAUUAAACGACACAGGUCAGAGGGACCAGGAGCCAUCUGUGGAACAGUUCUCCCAAACCCUGUAGAUCACACAUUCUCCUCCAGAGCUCAGGGAACAGUGCACACUGCCCCACCGCAGUGGGAUAAAGCUAAAAACAAACAGCAGGAGGGACCGGAGAGUGUGCAGGGCUGUGGACACAGAGCGACACACUCUUGGACAAUGGUACAAGAAAAGUGGUCCUAAGAGGUGAGUUCAUAGCUACAAGUGUGUACACUUAGAAGCUAGAGCUCAGGGGCAGAGAGAUGGCUCAGCAGUCAAGAGCAGUGGCUGCUCUUCCAGAGGACCCGGGUUUAAUUCCAGCACCCUCAUGGCAGCUUGCAACUGUAACUCCAUGUCCAGGGGAGACGAUACCCUCUUCUGACCUCCAUGGCAUGAAUGUGGAGUACAGACAGACAUACAGUCAAACAGAGCACCCGUACACAUCAAAAACAUUUACAAAUAAUUUUAAAAGAAGAAACCAGCUAAUGGUGCAAGGCAGGGCCUUGGGAAAACAAGCCAAACAUAGAACCAGUAGAUGGAAACAAAGAGUCAAGAUCAGGGCAGAAAUUAAUGCUAUAGAACACUAAAAUUACAAAGAAUUAGUGAAACAGAUCUUUGGGAAAAUAAACAAGAUUCACAAGCUCUUAGCCAAACUAACCAAAAGGAAGU